rnacentral:rRNA from 1 species
UGGGGAAUUUGGACAAUGGGGCAACCCUGAUCCAGCAAUGCCGCGUGUGUGAAGAAGGCCUUCGGGUUGUAAAGCACUUUUGUCCGGAAAGAAAACGCCGUGGUUAAUACCCGUGGCGGAUGACGGUACCGGAAGAAUAAGCACCGGCUAACUACGUGCCAGCAGCCGCGGUAAUACGUAGGGUGCAAGCGUUAAUCGGAAUUACUGGGCGUAAAGCGUGCGCAGGCGGUCCGCUAAGACAGAUGUGAAAUCCCCGGGCUUAACCUGGGAACUGCAUUUGUGACUGGCGGGCUAGAGUAUGGCAGAGGGGGGUAGAAUUCCACGUGUAGCAGUGAAAUGCGUAGAGAUGUGGAGGAAUACCGAUGGCGAAGGCAGCCCCCUGGGCCAAUACUGACGCUCAUGCACGAAAGCGUGGGGAGCAAACAGGAUUAGAUACCCUGGUAGUCCACGCCCUAAACGAUGUCAAACUAGUUGUCGGGUCUUCAUUGACUUGGUAACGUAGCUAACGCGUGAAGUUGACCGCCUGGGGAGUACGGUCGCAAGAUUAAAACUUAAAGGAAU